GGUCGGGAUAGCUCAGCUGGUAGAGCAGAGGACUGAAAAUCCUCGU
rnacentral:tRNA from 9 species